rnacentral:RNase_P_RNA from 1 species
CCGGGUGGCUGGGCGACCGCUGGCGGCGUGGCGACACGCUGCUGGAGGAAAGUCCGGGCUCCACGGGGAUACGGUGCCGGCCAACGGCCGGCGGGGGUCAAACCCCAGGGAAAGUGCCACAGAGAGCAAACCGCCACGACGCCGACCCGCAAGGGCCGGCCUCGCGGUAAGGGUGAAAGGGUGCGGUAAGAGCGCACCGCGCUUCCGGCAACGGCGGCGGCAGGGCAAACCCCACCGGGAGCAAGGCCGAAUAGGGGCGAUCGGCAGAACCUGGCGCAAGCCAGGCGGAUGCAGGGGCAUUCCCGCCCCAUCGCCCGGGUUGGCCGCGAGAAGCCUGCGGCGACGCAGGCUCCAGAGGAAUGGUCGCCCACCAUCUUCGGAUGGGGACAGAACCCGGCUUACAGGCCACCCGGCGCC